CCCUGGGUGGUGCAAACAGUAACACGCUUGGCUGCUAAUCAAAAAGUUGGAGGUUCAAGUCCACCCCGAGGUG
rnacentral:tRNA from 1 species